rnacentral:rRNA from 1 species
AUUGAACGCUGGCGGCAUGCCUUACACAUGCAAGUCGAACGGUAACGGGCCUUCGGGUGCCGACGAGUGGCGAACGGGUGAGUAAUGUAUCGGAACGUACCUUUCAGUGGGGGAUAACGUAGCGAAAGUUACGCUAAUACCGCAUAUUCUGUGCGCGGGAAAGCAGGGGAUCGCAAGACCUUGCGCUGAUUGAGCGGCCGAUAUCAGAUUAGCUAGUUGGUGAGGUAAAGGCUCACCAAGGCGACGAUCUGUAGCGGGUCUGAGAGGAUGAUCCGCCACACUGGAACUGAGACACGGUCCAGACUCCUACGGGAGGCAGCAGUGGGGAAUUUUGGACAAUGGGGGCAACCCUGAUCCAGCCAUGCCGCGUGAGUGAAGAAGGCCUUCGGGUUGUAAAGCUCUUUCGGCCGGGAAGAAAUCGUAUGGGUUAAUACCCUGUGCGGAUGACGGUACCGGCAUAAGAAGCACCGGCUAACUACGUG